rnacentral:rRNA from 1 species
GAUUUGUCUGGUMAAUUCCGUUAACGAACGAGACCCCAGCCUGCUAAAUAGCGCGGCUUAGCUUUGCUAGGUACGAGCUUCUUAGAGGGACUAUGAUGCGCGAUACACAUGGAAGUUUGGGGCAAUAACAGGUCUGURAUGCCCUUAGAUGUUCUGGGCCGCACGCGGCUACACUGGCGCCUGCAUCGAGCAUAUCAGCUGGCCCGAGAGGUCUUGGCUAAUSUUUUGAACCGGCGCCGUGCUUGGGAUUGACCUUUGCAAUUGUUGGUCAUGCAACGAGGAAUGCCUUGUAAACGCGAGUCAUCAGCUCGCAUUGAAUACGUCCCUACCCUUUGUACACACCGCCCGUCGCUCCUACCGAUUAWUGUUCCGAUGAAAUUUUCGGAGAGUUCCUUUUUAAGCAGGUCCCGCCUUUCGAACGGGAAGCUCAAAGUCACUUAAAUCUGAACAUUUCGAGGAAGGAGAAGUCGUAACAAGGUUUCCGUAGUGAAACCUGCGGAAGGAUCA